CGUAGGGGGCAAGCGUUGUCCGGAUUUAUUGGGCGUAAAGCGCGCGUAGGCGGCGCGGUAUGUCGUGCGUGAAAUCUCCCGGCUUAACUGGGAGGGGCCGUGCGAAACUGCCGGGCUUGAGGUCGGAAGGGGAAAGUGGAAUUCCGGGUGUAGUGGUGGAAUACGUAGAUAUCCGGAGGAACACCAGCGGCGAAGGCGGCUUUCUGGUCCGAUACUGACGCUGAGGUGCGAAAGCGUGGGGAGCGAUCCGGAUUAGAUACCCGGGUAGUCCACGCCCUAAACGAUGUCAACUGGUUGUUGGGUCUUUACUGACUCAGUAACGAAGCUAACGCGUGAAGUUGACCGCCUGGGGAGUACGGCCGCAAGGUUG
rnacentral:rRNA from 1 species